AUUCUUAUAGUUUAAGGAAAAUGUAACGUUGAAAAUGUUGAGAUAAGAGAUUUAAGAAUA
rnacentral:tRNA from 1 species